rnacentral:lncRNA from 1 species
GGAAACAGGGUGAAGAGGCAGGAAUCUGGCUCGCAUUAAGCUGGGAGGUUCCAACCAUUGAUUCGCUCUGGAAUUAUGGCUUAAAAAAAUUGCAAGACAUGGUUUAUUCAUGAGGGUUCUUUUUUUUUCUUAAGUAGCCACCCAAAGUUACACUUUGGUUCACCAAGACGAAGACUCAUCCUUCCUCUCUCUAUGGAUCUUUCAGGUGAAGAAAUUAAGGCUCAGGAGGGAGGAAAAAAAUAAAAGAAAGAAUUGUCCAAGGUCACCAAGGCAUCUGGACUCCCAUAUGUUGAGCUACUUCUGCUUGUGGGGCAGCUGCAAUACAUGAAUUCUUCACUACGAACUUAAUAUAAGCUAAGGAAUGCAAAAGAUUGCCAGCAAAUGACCAGAAGCUAGAGGGGAGGCAUGGAACAGAUCUUCUCUCACAGCCUCAGAAGGAACUAGCCCUACUGACAGCUCGAUCUCAGACUUCUAGACUCCAGACUGGUGAGACAACAUAUUUCUGUUGUUUAAGCCACCCAGUUUGUGGCAAUUUGUUACGGCAGACCAGCAAAUGAAUACAGGAUCUCUACAAAAUACACUCACCUUUCAGGCAGGCCAAGAGGAUUGUUUACUGUCAGAGCUCCAAGCCCGGAACUUACUCACACACCAAAAAAGGGGCAUGGAAGUGGGAGCAAGGAUGGAGUCACGAUCCCAAAGUCCCGGAGCAUCUUCUCCACACAUUCAUGAGAGUCAGGCACAGGUUUUUAUCUCAUGCCCACAUUCAGGGGGCCAUCAUCCUGAGCCUGCACCCCCAGAGAAAGUGAGGCCCAGGAAUUUGUGAGUUUGUUGUUGCUUGUGUUACCGAAUAUCCAUGAACUGCAAAAUGGCACCAUGACCUAAUGAAGUAUUAACCCUGCCUCAUCACUGCACAUCAACCAUGAAAGCAGGCUCUUCUUGGCCAGGGCUGUUUCAAGGAGAUUUAGGAAUAUAUUUGAGGCUUCUGAAGGAUAGUUGGAAAUUAGGGGGUCUGCAAAUGGACCUCCAAGAACUCAGGACAGGGGACAUGGACCAGAAGCACCCCCUGAUCUGCCUGGGGUCUCCAACAUACUGUUCUUCCCUCCCACCCCUUUCAAGGGCUAUCCAACGUUGGAAAGAAUAAAAACUCAGAGUCAAUAGAUCUGGGUUUACAUCACAGCUUUACUCAUGAGACAUGAGACAAAUGACUUAGUCCUUCUGAGCCUCAGUUUUCUCCUCUGUAAAAUGGGAAUAAUCAUUGUAGAUGCUUCACAGAGUUGUGAAAACAUAAUGGGUAUCUAUCUAUCUAUCUAUCUAUCUAUCUAUCUAUCUAUCUGGAAUGAAAAUGCACCUGGCUCAUAGUAGACA